rnacentral:piRNA from 1 species
UCUUCCAGUCUGGAAUUGUAAAUGGGACC